GUCCCUGUAGCUUACAACUAAAGCAUGGCACUGAAGACGCCAAGACGGUUUUCCCCUACACCCAAGGACA
rnacentral:tRNA from 1 species